GGCACCGUAGCUUGGGGGAAAGAAGCGCCCGUCUAGUGAAUUGGGUUUCGUGGGUUCGAUUCCCACCGGAGCAC
rnacentral:tRNA from 1 species